GAGGAAGUAUGCAAGAGGUUAAAGCAAGUUGACUGUAAAUCAAUGGACGUUCGUCUUCAGGGGUUCGAAUCCCUUCUCCCUCA
rnacentral:tRNA from 1 species